UACGUAGGCGGAAGAUUAAGUCAGUGGUGAAAUCCUGCAGCUUAACUGUAGAACUGUCAUUGAUACUGGUUUUCUUGAAUUUAGUUGAGGUAGGCGGAAUGUGUAAUGUAGCGGUGAAAUGCUUAGAUAUUACACAGAACACCGAUUGCGAAGGCAGCUUACUAAGCUAUGAUUGACGCUGAGGUACGAAAGCGUGGGGAGCGAACAGGAUUAGAUACCCUGGUAGUCC
rnacentral:rRNA from 1 species